AGUCGUGCGAGGGUUUUCGGACCCUAGCGGCGGACGGGUGAGUAACACGUAGGCAACCUGCCUCUCAGACCGGGAUAACAUAGGGAAACUUAUGUAAUACCGGAUAGGUUUUUGGAUUGCAUGAUCCGAAAAGAAAAGAUGGCUUCGGCUAUCACUGGGAGAUGGGCCUGCGGCGCAUUAGCUAGUUGGUGGGGUAACGGCCUACCAAGGCGACGAUGCGUGCCGACCUGAGAGGGUGACCGACCACACUGGGACUGAGACACGGCCCAACUCCUACGGGAGGCAGCAGUAGGGAAUUUUCCACAAUGGACGAAAGUCUGAUGGAGCAACGCCGCGUGAACGAUGAAGUCUUCGGAUUGUAAAGUUCUGUUGUCAGGGACGAACACGUGCCGUUCGAAUAGGGCGGUACCUUGACGGUACCUGACGAGAAAGCCACGGCUAACUACGUGCCAGCAGCCGCGGUAAUACGUAGGUGCAAGCGUUGUCCGGAUUUAUUGGGCGUAAAGCGCGCGCAGGCGGCUAUGUAAGUCUGGUGUUAAAGCCCGGAGCUCAACUCCGGUUCGCAUCGGAAACUGUGUAGCUUGAGUGCAGAAGAGGAAAGCGUAUUCCACGUGUAGCGGUGAAAUGCGUAGAGAUGUGGAGGAACACCAGUGGCGAAGGCGGCUUUCUGGUCUGUAACUGACGCUGAGGCGCGAAAGCGUGGGGAGCAAACAGGAUUAGAUACCCUGGAGUCCACGCCGUAAACGAUGAGUGCUAGGUGUUGGGGGUUUCGAUACCCUCAGUGCCGCAGCUAACGCAAUAGGCACUCCGCCUGGGGAGUACGCUCGCAAGAGUGAAACUCAAAGGAAUUGGCGGGGCCCGCACAAGCGGUGGAGCAUGUGGAGUAAUUCGAAGCAACGCGAAGAACCUUACCAGGUCUUGACAGCACGCUGACGGCUCUGGAGACAGAGCAGGAGGAAGGGGCAGCGGUGACAGGUGGUGCAGGUUGUCGUCAGCUCGUGUCGUGAGAUGUUGGGUUAAGUCCCGCAACGAGCGCAACCCUUAUCUUUAGUUGCCAGCAUUCAGUUGGGCACUCUAGAGAGACUGCCGUCGACAAGACGGAGGAAGGCGGGAUGACGUCAAAUCAUCAUGCCCCUUAUGACCUGGGCUACACACGUGCUACAAUGGUUGGUACAACGGGAUGCUACCUCGCGAGGGGACGCCAAUCUCUGAAAACCAAUCUCAGUUCGGAUUGUAGCUGCAACUCGCCUACAUGAAGUCGGAAUCGCUAGUAAUCGCGGAUCAGCAUGCCGCGGUGAAUACGUUCCCGGGCCUUGUACACACCGCCCGUCACACCACGGGAGUUUGCAACACCCGAAGUCGGUAGCUAACCGCAGGGAACCAGCCGCCG
rnacentral:rRNA from 1 species